GGGGUGUGCUCAGAGCAGGUGGCCCGAAGAAUGGUUUCUCUGUUUACAACACACCCAACAGAAAUUUAAGGGUCGUUGUGACAAAAGGCUCAAAAGUUCUGACUUCCCUCUGAGUGCAUGUGUACUCCU
rnacentral:snoRNA from 1 species